UAACAAGGUAGCCGUAGGGGAACCUGCGGCUGGAUCACCUCCUUU
rnacentral:rRNA from 427 species